AGCAAAGGCAGGUGGCCCUUUGCAGGAAGCAACGUUGUUAAUUCUGUGCAGUUUAAAGUCUGAAGCUCUGUUUGAUUCUAGACUCUGUGUGGCUUUGCCAAUUAGGUCUUUGGCAGCAUGUCAAGGGAGAUAAAGCCAGGCCAGUCUCCCACUGGACUCCCUUUGCCUCGCCUCGCACAGAUGCUGCUGGGAAAGUGGGCAGUUUUGGUGGCUGUGGUGAUGGAGGCCACAGCUGCUUUUCCCUCCUCAUUGCUGAUUAAGAACGAAGAUGCCAACAUAACCCGGAAUUGCUUCGGUUCCCCUGGAGAACAAGUGGAGUGGAAACAGAAUGGCCAGACGCUGGAGGACUCAGGUGGAGAGCUUGUUAUUAACAACCUGGACAUCCCUUAUGCCGGAAACUAUUCCUGCUGGGCUGGACCCCGGCUGCUCCAAAGCUUCUAUGUGGUCAUGUGGUUGAAUCAUAGCUACUUCUUCAAGGCAGAAGGAACAAAGAAAGAACCGACCAUUACCUGCUGGGCUCCAUCAUACAGCGGCACCUUGAACUGUUCCUGGAAGUCUCAGAACCCGGCGACUUUUCUGGUCCACCUGAAACACAGAGACUCAGAGGCUGAGCUGUGCUCCACAGAAGUGGCUCUCCCCAGGAACAGAAUGGUGCAGAUCCAGUUAAAUAAUUGUUCCUUCUGUUCUUACGCUGAAGAAAUGCCCGUCACGCCCCUUGUCCUGGUGCUGAAGGGGCUCUCUGAAGAUGGUGGUGGCUACAACGAAGUGAACAAGACAUUCCUCUUACGGGAUAUUGUGAGGCCCGAUGCUCCCGCCUACCUGAAUAUCACAGGAAGGAAGGUGUCCUGGGCUCCCCCGGCUUCCUGGGACCUACCCACCACCUACUUCCCUUUGCAGUACAGCCUUCGGCUGGAGUCAGCUUCUGGCAGCCAGGAGAACUUCCUCCUCGCUGAGAAGGAGCUGAUCACAGAACAGAACUGGUACAAGGCGCAGAUCCGCUGCCAGGACCCUUUGAUCAAUUCAUCUUGGAGCUCUUGGCAGGAAUGGAAGAAAUGAGGAAAGAAGCUCCCUCUGCAGCUCUGGCUCCUCCACCCACCCACCCUGUCACUUGCAUAUGUAAAAUAAUUCUGUUGUUAUUAGGAAGAAUAGCAGCCGUAAAGAUGUCUAUACUACCAAAAUUCCUAUAUUUGUUUCAGACUGUUCCAGUCAAAUUAGAAAAGACCUUUUUUAAUGACCUUAAUAAAACAAUUGGAAAAUUUAUUUGGCAGGGGAAAAAACCUAGAAUAAAAUGAAAUAUUUACAAGAUAUGAAGAGCAGAGGAGGAUUCGGAUUACCAAAUUGGGAAUUAUAUUAUAGUGCAGCAACACUAGUUUGGUUAAAAGACUGGAUCAAUUUAAAGAAUAAAAGAAUACUAACUAUAGAAGGCCACGACCUACAGAGAGGGUGGCAUGCCUUUCUGUGGGAAACAGGCCAUAUGAAACAAAAGUAUUUCCACAGACAUUUGAUUAGAGAUUCCCUAAUAAACAAUUGGAUUAAAGUUAAAAAGAAACACUAUAUAAAAAUCCCAAUCUGGCUAUCCACAAUGGAAGCAAUGAUUCACCCAAAUAAUUUAGAUUUGAAUAAAAUGCUAAAAUAUACAGAUCUAUUAGAUAUUCAUGGAAAAUUAAAAACACUACAGGACCUCCAAGAACAAGGACUACGGGUUGACUGGUGGGCCUAUCUUCAGUUACAAAAUCGAUACAAACAAGAUAUAAAAGAAUAUGGAAUAUAUCUUAAACCACAGCAAUUAGAUAAAAUUUUACUAGGGCCAGACAAAAAAAAUAUUACCCAAAUUUAUAAAUAUUUGCUAGAAGUAGAAUUGGAAGAAGAAGUAGUGAAAGGAUAUAUGAUCGCAUGGGGUCAAAAUAUUGGACAUAAUAUAAAUUUAUCAGAUUGGGAGAAAAUAUGGAACAGAAAUUAUAAACUAACCAAAUCAGCAGCAUACAAAGAAAAUGCAUAUAAAAUGUUCUAUAGGUGGCACCUGCCCCCUUCGAGAUUAGCGAAAAUGUAUCCCAAAAUGUCUCCCAUAUGCUG